rnacentral:rRNA from 1 species
GGGCCCGCACAAGCGGUGGAGCAUGUGGUUUAAUUCGAAGCUACGCGAAGAACCUUACCAGGUCUUGACAUACUAUGCAAAUCUAAGAGAUUAGACGUUCCCUUCGGGGACAUGGAUACAGGUGGUGCAUGGUUGUCGUCAGCUCGUGUCGUGAGAUGUUGGGUUAAGUCCCGCAACGAGCGCAACCCUUAUUAUCAGUUGCCAGCAUUAAGUUGGGCACUCUGGUGAGACUGCCGGUGACAACCGGAGGAAGGUGGGG